AGGAGACCCCCCAAGAGGGAUCAUUGCCGACAAAAUUUUAUUAAGUAAAUUUUUCAUGCAUAAUGUUCGGCCGUAGCCGGAUUGGGCAUACUGUGGUGGAAGGUGCUGGCCGGAAGACCAUGGUCGGCACAUUCCUGCCACGUGCUCCUCGGUCAGGCUCAAGUCCCACGGGUUGGUUGCGCUGACGGGGGUACGCUACUAGCAAGGCGCGUUGGCGGAAUCAAUCCUCCAAUCAGAGACUAAUCGUGUGAUCACGUGGGGACGCGGCCGGGAGCGGCGAGGGCGGCUUGGAAACAGCUCCGCGCUCUCUUGGCUUCUGACCUCGGCCCCGAGUAGUCGCUCCUCUAGCCUCUGCCUCUCUGAUGAGCAGACGGCAACCCCUCUUGGGGCUGCUCAGCCCUAUGUAGGCACCACUGUACCAUCAUUACAAGAAUAAACUGGGUCCAUUCCA